rnacentral:rRNA from 1 species
UACAGAGGGUGCAAGCGUUUAAUCGGAAUUACUGGGCGUAAAGCGUGCGUAGACGGUUACAUAAGUCGGGUGUGAAAGCCCCGGGCUCAACCUGGGAAUUGCAUUCGAGACUGCGUAGCUAGGGUGCGGAAGAGGGAAGCGGAAUUUCCGGUGUAGCGGUGAAAUGCGUAGAUAUCGGAAGGAACACCAGUGGCGAAAGCGGCUCUCUGGUCCAAAACUGACGCUGAGGGGCGAAAGCGUGGGAGCGAACGGGG